rnacentral:rRNA from 1 species
AACGAACGCUGGCGGCGUGCUUAACACAUGCAAGUCGAACGCGAAAGGGACUUCGGUCCUGAGUAAAGUGGCGCACGGGUGAGUAACGCGUAGAUAACCUGCCUUCAUGUCUGGAAUAAUACGCCGAAAGGGGUACUAAUACCGGAUAUUCUUGCUUUUCAUAAGUUAUGCAAGCAAAGGUGGCCUCUGCAUAUGCUACUGCAUGAAGAGGGGUCUGCGUACCAUUAGCUAGUAGGUGGGGUAAUGGCCUACCUAGGCGACGAUGGUUAGCGGGUCUGAGAGGAUGAUCCGCCACACUGGCACUGGAACACGGGCCAGACUCCUACGGGAGGCAGCAGUGAGGAAUAUUGCGCAAUGGGGGAAACCCUGACGCAGCGACGCCGCGUGAGUGAGGAAAAGGCCUUCGGGUCGUAAAGCUCUGUCAAGAGGAAAGAAGUGUACAAUGGCUAAUACCUGUUGUAUUUGACGGUACCUCUAAAGGAAGCACCGGCUAACUCCGUGCCAGCAGCAGC